GAUGAACGCUGGCGGCGUGCUUAACACAUGCAAGUCGAACGGAAAGGCCCAAGCUUGCUUGGGUACUCGAGUGGCGAACGGGUGAGUAACACGUGGGUGAUCUGCCCUGCACUUCGGGAUAAGCCUGGGAAACUGGGUCUAAUACCGGAUAGGACGAUGGUUUGGAUGCCAUUGUGGAAAGUUUUUUCGGUGUGGGAUGAGCUCGCGGCCUAUCAGCUUGUUGGUGGGGUAAUGGCCUACCAAGGCGUCGACGGGUAGCCGGCCUGUGAGGGUGUACGGCCACAUUGGGCCUGGGAUACGGCCCAGACUCCUACGUGCGGCAGCAGUGGGGAAUAUUGCACAAUGGGCGCAAGCCUGAUGCAGCGACGCCGCGUGGGGGAUGACGGCCUUCGGGUUGUAAACUCCUUUCGCUAGGGACGAAGCGUUUUUGUGACGGUACCUGGAGAAGAAGCACCGGCUAACUACGUG
rnacentral:rRNA from 1 species